GUACUGCUGAAGAGUCUCAAACUAGGACGAAACAGCUGUCCAGCAC
rnacentral:hammerhead_ribozyme from 1 species